rnacentral:misc_RNA from 1 species
UCCGGUUUGUCACCGGCAGUCUCCCUAGAGUUCCCGCCAUGACGCGCUGGCAACUAAGGACAAGGGUUGCGCUCGUUACGGGACUUAACCCAACAUCUCACGACACGAGCUGACGACAGCCAUGCAGCACCUGUCUCUCGGUUCCCGAAGGCACUCCCGCAUCUCUGCAGGAUUCCGAGGAUGUCAAGGGCUGGUAAGGUUCUUCGCGUUGCAUCGAAUUAAACCACAUGCUCCACCGCUUGUGCGGGCCCCCGUCAAUUCAUUUGAGUUUUAACCUUGCGGCCGUACUCCCCAGGCGGUCGACUUAGUGCGUUAGCUGCGCCACUAGAAACUCUAAGGUUCCCAACGGCUAGUCGACAUCGUUUACGGCGUGGACUAC